rnacentral:lncRNA from 1 species
CACACACGCCUAUAAGUACACAUACACACACACACACACAACACACACACACUACACACACUAGUACACAGACCCACCUGUCAAAGAGACAAAGUGAGGCUUGCUAAUAAUUUAUAAAGUGGCCUUUGGUUGGCAAAUAUGCAAAGUACGGAUGCAAAUAUAGCAAGCUUUGUAAAAAAAAUUGGUGGGGAGCCACUUAUACAAAGGCUGUUGGAAAGGUUUUUUGACCAAAAUUUAUAAAAUAGCAAGUGAGUGUAAAUAUAAAAAUGCUGUUGAAGAUGCUCUUACAUGUAUAAGCCUCGAGUCGAUCN